rnacentral:lncRNA from 1 species
UGUGACUUCCGUAAUGCAUAGGGAUAGGUACGUAGAAUUAGAGCAUUAACACUUCCAGUACAUGAUGUUUUGAUGUGGAAUAUUGAAAAUCAAAUAAGCAAAAACCAAAACCAUGACAAGCCGGUUCUGAAGAGCCCUUCCAUUUUUGAGAAGGCUGUGGGUUUAGUUCAGCAUCUCCAGAUGUGUCACACAGAUUCAAGGGCUUUCAAGAAGUCACUUCUUUGAAGUGUUGAAGAUGGUGAAUUCUGCUAGACAGAGCGCUUGUCUAAUCAAAUUCUGCUAGACAGAGCACUUGUCUGAUCAAACCUCUUAACUCCAAGGUUUGUUCUGCAGGUCCUGAUGGUGGCACAGGCAUUAAGCAGCCCAGAGCUCGUCACUGGGGAGAGGCUGCGCACUGUGUUGUGAAGGGAGAGAUGGAAGAGGGGUUUGAACAGCGUUGUGCAGGAAUGGAAAGCUGGUAAGAGAAGAGGUGUGUGUUCUGAGAGCAAGGGCUGUCCGGCUCAUCUCUGUGUUCUAACAGGAAAUGCAAGGCAGAGCUCUCUGCUCCCUGUUGUUUCUUGCAAGGUUACUGCCCUUCCAAGUGCGCUGCGGAUGGGCAGCACGAUGACAGCCCAAGGAUGGCAGCAGGAGAUGCAGCACAGCCCUCUCCAGCAGCAAGGAAUGGUUCCCGUGCAAGGACAUGGUCGUCUGCCUGGAACAGAUACUGAAGGUGAGGUUUUGUGACUGCAAUUAUGGAGUUGGCUUUUUAAUGGCAAUUGCAGCCCGCUAACGUGCAGCUCUUUCUGACACAGGCAGGAGACGGGCAGCGGUACUGCAGCUCCUCUGGCAGUUUUGCAGCUACGUCAGGAAGCAGAAGAUGUGGAUUGGAAAGAACUCAGUUCUUGGGACGUUCCCCAGU